rnacentral:tRNA from 2 species
CAGUAAAUAAUUUAAAAAAAAUACUAAUUUUGGAAAUUAGAAAUAAGUAACUUUUUUACUGA